rnacentral:rRNA from 1 species
GACGAACGCUGGCGGCGUGCUUAACACAUGCAAGUCGAACGGAAAGGCCCUGCUUUUGUGGGGUGCUCGAGUGGCAAACGGGUGAGUAACACGUGAGUAACCUGCCCUUGACUUUGGGAUAACUUCAGGAAACUGGGGCUAAUACCGGAUAGGAGCUCCUGCUGCAUGGUGGGGGUUGGAAAGUUUCGGCGGUUGGGGAUGGACUCGCGGCUUAUCAGCUUGUUGGUGGGGUAGUGGCUUACCAAGGCUUUGACGGGUAGCCGGCCUGAGAGGGUGACCGGCCACAUUGGGACUGAGAUACGGCCCAGACUCCUACGGGAGGCAGCAGUGGGGAAUAUUGCACAAUGGGCGGAAGCCUGAUGCAGCAACGCCGCGUGCGGGAUGACGGCCUUCGGGCUGUAAACCGCUUUCGCCUGUGACGAAGCGUGAGUGACGGUAAUGGGUAAAGAAGCACCGGCUAACUACGUG